UAAAACCAGCACCUCAAGUGGUCAGGAGGAUUAUUGGGCCUAAAGCAUACGUAGCCUGCUUUGUAAGUUUUCGGUUAAAUCCAUCAGCUCAACUGAUGGGCCGCCGAAAAAACUGCAAAGCUAGGGAGUGGGAGAGGUAGACGGUACUCGAUAGGAAGGGGUAAAAUCCUUUGAUCUAUUGAUGACCCCCUGUGGCGAAGGCGGUCUACCAGAACACGUUCGACGGUGAGGGAUGAAAGCUGGGGGAGCAAACCGGAUUAGAUACCCGGGUAGUCCCAGCUGUAAACGAUGCAGACUCGGUGAUGCCCUGGCUUGUGGCCAGUGCAGUGCCGCAGGGAAGCCGUUAAGUUUGCCGCCUGGGAAGUACGUACGCAAGUAUG
rnacentral:rRNA from 2 species